AAACUCAAAUGAAUUGACGGGGGCCCGCACAAGCAGUGGAGUAUGUGGUUUAAUUCGAAGCAACGCGAAAAACCUUACCAGGUCUUGACAUCCAACGACCGCCUAAGAGAUUAGGCUUUCCUUCGGGACGUUGAGACAGGUGGUGCAUGGUUGUCGUCAGCUCGUGUCGUGAGAUGUUGGGUUAAGUCCCGCAACGAGCGCAACCCUUAUUACUAGUUACUACGCAAGAGGACUCUAGUGAGACUGCCGUUGACAAAACGGAGGAAGGUGGGGAUGACGUCAAAUCAUCAUGCCCUUUAUGACCUGGGCUACACACGUACUACAAUGGCUAUUAACAGAGAGAAGCGAGACCGCAAGGUGGAGCAAACCUCAGAAAAAUAGUCUCAGUUCGGAUUGGGGGCUGCAACCCGCCCCCAUGAAGCCGGAAUUGCUAGUAAUCGCGGAUCAGCAUGCCGCGGUGAAUACGUUCCCGGGCCUUGUACACACCGCCCGUCACACCAUGAGAGCCGGGGGGACCCGAAGUCGGUAGUCUAACCGCAAGGAAGACGCCGCCGAAGGUAAAACUGGUGAUUGGGGUGAAGUCGUAACAAGGUAGCCGUAUCGGAAGGUGCGGCUGGAUCAUCACCUCCUUUAU
rnacentral:rRNA from 1 species